GGGUAUAAUGGAAUGGCACCCGAAGCUGUACACGUGACACCACCUGAUUGGUGAUGCUUUUUUGGUACAUAUUGAAAAGGGUAUCUUUCGAUCCUAUAGUAUGAUCAAACCCGGAGUAUGCUUAUAUCAGUAUCUAUCGAAAAGGCAUCAUCAAUCAGGUAAUGCCACGUGUGCAACUCAGGUCUCAUUGUUUUAUACCC